rnacentral:rRNA from 1 species
ACGGAAGGCAGCAGUGAGGAAUAUUGGUCAAUGGGCGGAAGCCUGAACCAGCCAAGUCGCGUGAAGGAUGAAGGUAUUAUGUAUUGUAAACUUCUUUAGUCGCAGAGAAAUAAGGAGGUCGAGACCUCUGAUGCUAGUAUGCGAAGAAUAAGGAUCGGCUAACUCCGUGCCAGCAGCCGCGGUAAUACGGAGGAUCCGAGCGUUAUCCGGAUUUAUCGGGUUUAAAGGGUGCGCAGGCGGCUUUUUAAGUCAGUGGUCAAAUCGUGGGGCUCAACCCCAUCCCGCCAUUGAUACUGGAGAGCUUGAUUGCGGUCGAGGUUGGCGGAAUUCGUCGUGUAGCGGUGAAAUGCAUAGAUAUGACGAAGAACACCGAUUGCGUAGGCAGCUGACCAGGCCGUAAAUGACGCUCAUGCACGAAAGUGCGGGGAUCGAACAGGAUUAGAUACCCUGGUA